rnacentral:tRNA from 1 species
GGGCGACUAGCUCAGCUGGGAGAGCGUUUGGUUUACACCCAAAAUGUCGGGAGUUCGAUCCUCUCAGCGCCCA